AGUGAACGCUGGCGGUAGGCCUAACACAUGCAAGUCGAACGGCAGCACAGGAGAGCUUGCUCUCUGGGUGGCGAGUGGCGGACGGGUGAGGAAUACAUCGGAAUCUACUUUUUCGUGGGGGAUAACGUAGGGAAACUUACGCUAAUACCGCAUACGACCUACGGGUGAAAGCAGGGGACCUUCGGGCCUUGCGCGAUUGAAUGAGCCGAUGUCGGAUUAGCUAGUUGGCGGGGUAAAGGCCCACCAAGGCGACGAUCCGUAGCUGGUCUGGGGGAAUGAUCAGCCAAACUGGAACGGAGAAAAGGUCCGGACUCCGCGGGGAGGCAGCGGGGGGGAAUAUUGGAUAAGGGGCGCAAGCCUGAUCCAGCCAUACGGCGUGGGUGAAGAAGGCCUUCGGGUUGCAAAGCCCUUUUGUUGGGAAAGAAAUCCAGCGGGCUAAUACUCGGUUGGGAGGACGGUACCCAAAGAAUAAGCCCCGGCUAACUUCGUGCCAGCCGCCGCGGUAA
rnacentral:rRNA from 1 species